rnacentral:rRNA from 1 species
UACGUAGGGUGCGAGCGUUAAUCGGAAUUACUGGCGUAAGCGUGCGCAGGCGGUUUUGUAAGCCAGAUGUGAAAUCCCCGGGCUUAACCUGGGAAUGGCAUUUGGACUGCAAGGCUUGAGUGCGGCAGAGGAGACUGGAAUUCCUGGUGUAGCAGUGAAAUGCGUAGAUAUCAGGAGGAACACCGAUGGCGAAGGCAGGUCUCUGGGCUGACACUGACGCUCAUGCACGAAAGGCGUGGGGAGCAAACGAGGAUAGAGACC